CUUUGCCACGUUUGUCUGAACGAUCUACCAAAUCAUCAUGGGGCUUAUAAUGUGGGCUACAGGCGUAUUACAUUAGACAC